rnacentral:rRNA from 2 species
UGCCUAAUACAUGCAAGUCGAACGAACUCUGGUAUUGAUUGGUGCUUGCAUCAUGAUUUACAUUUGAGUGAGUGGCGAACUGGUGAGUAACACGUGGGAAACCUGCCCAGAAGCGGGGGAUAACACCUGGAAACAGAUGCUAAUACCGCAUAACAACUUGGACCGCAUGGUCCGAGCUUGAAAGAUGGCUUCGGCUAUCACUUUUGGAUGGUCCCGCGGCGUAUUAGCUAGAUGGUGGGGUAACGGCUCACCAUGGCAAUGAUACGUAGCCGACCUGAGAGGGUAAUCGGCCACAUUGGGACUGAGACACGGCCCAAACUCCUACGGGAGGCAGCAGUAGGGAAUCUUCCACAAUGGACGAAAGUCUGAUGGAGCAACGCCGCGUGAGUGAAGAAGGGUUUCGGCUCGUAAAACUCUGUUGUUAAAGAAGAACAUAUCUGAGAGUAACUGUUCAGGUAUUGACGGUAUUUAACCAGAAAGCCACGGCUAACUACGUGCCAGCAGCCGCGGUAAUACGUAGGUGGCAAGCGUUGUCCGGAUUUAUUGGGCGUAAAGCGAGCGCAGGCGGUUUUUUAAGUCUGAUGUGAAAGCCUUCGGCUCAACCGAAGAAGUGCAUCGGAAACUGGGAAACUUGAGUGCAGAAGAGGACAGUGGAACUCCAUGUGUAGCGGUGAAAUGCGUAGAUAUAUGGAAGAACACCAGUGGCGAAGGCGGCUGUCUGGUCUGUAACUGACGCUGAGGCUCGAAAGUAUGGGUAGCAAACAGGAUUAGAUACCCUGGUAGUCCAUACCGUAAACGAUGAAUGCUAAGUGUUGGAGGGUUUCCGCCCUUCAGUGCUGCAGCUAACGCAUUAAGCAUUCCGCCUGGGGAGUACGGCCGCAAGGCUGAAACUCAAAGGAAUUGACGGGGGCCCGCACAAGCGGUGGAGCAUGUGGUUUAAUUCGAAGCUACGCGAAGAACCUUACCAGGUCUUGACAUACUAUGCAAAUCUAAGAGAUUAGACGUUCCCUUCGGGGACAUGGAUACAGGUGGUGCAUGGUUGUCGUCAGCUCGUGUCGUGAGAUGUUGGGUUAAGUCCCGCAACGAGCGCAACCCUUAUUAUCAGUUGCCAGCAUUAAGUUGGGCACUCUGGUGAGACUGCCGGUGACAAACCGGAGGAAGGUGGGGAUGACGUCAAAUCAUCAUGCCCCUUAUGACCUGGGCUACACACGUGCUACAAUGGAUGGUACAACGAGUUGCGAACUCGCGAGAGUAAGCUAAUCUCUUAAAGCCAUUCUCAGUUCGGAUUGUAGGCUGCAACUCGCCUACAUGAAGUCGGAAUCGCUAGUAAUCGCGGAUCAGCAUGCCGCGGUGAAUACGUUCCCGGGCCUUGUACACACCGCCCGUCACACCAUGAGAGUUUGUAACACCCAAAGUCGGUGGGGUAACCUUUUAGGAACCAGCCGCCUAAGG